rnacentral:tRNA from 1 species
UAGGCGGUUGUAGUUUAAGAAAAAUGUUGCGUUGUGGGUGCAAAGAUGGGUUUAGGCUUCAACCGUAC